UGCCAAAGUUUGACUGGGGGCAGCCGAAAACUGACUUGAAGGACAAGUAUGUUGAUAAGCUACACUACAGCAGCCUACAGAACCGAGGUAUGAGACCGAGAGGGAGAGAUCACACAGCAGAAAUGACAGAGAACCAAGGAGAAAGGACUCAGAGCUACCUUCUUGGACUUCGUGAGGAAGGAAGGACUUCCACAAACAGCUGAAGGUUUCCUGCAUAGAUAAUGGGAAAAAGCCAUACCCAUCAAGAAAACCAGUACAUUCAGUAAAGGAUAUGAAAACUUCAAGGAGAGAAAAAUAUAUGUUUAGAGUCCUAUUUCUGUCCUGAGUUUAAGUAUCCCCUGCAAAUUACCUAUACAUCAAUUGUGCAUGAUACUUUUAAGGUUAGGUUGAACAAAAACUGUGGAAAGAAAAGUCAGUAAGUAAAUAGCACUGCACAGAAACUGUUGUGAAUUGAAUGAGCGACUCCUAACAGGUCUUGUACAAGAUAUCUGUACUUCAAUGUCCUUAGAUGUCAUAUUAGUUCAGGACUCUUGUCAAAUUUGUGUACAUUAGAUGAAUACUUAACCACAGAAUUCCAAUGUUGCUUGGUAGUGGUAAAUAAGACAGUCCUAAGUGGUGGUGGUGGUGUUGUUGUUGAAUCUGUCAAAAUGCACUAGACACCAAUGAAAAUUGCAGUAUCAUUUAUUUCUGCAUAUACAUGUCUUUAAAUUUUAGAUAAAGUGAAUUGUUGUAAAGAGGCUCUGCCAUAAAUUACAGCUGACAGUG